AUGUACUGGUAUGUACCGAUGCAUUCUGGCCAUAUCGGACUGUACCAGUAAAUAUUAGGGCUACCAUAUCGGCCAUACCGUUUGGUAACAAUGGUUUUUAAGUUUAGUUUCGGUAUGGACCAUCAUGAUCAAUACUGUGCCAUUGGAAGAAAGAUAUAGGGUUCCGUACUGGUAUUUAAAACCUUGAUAUCUAUAUCUAUAUACAUACAUAUAUAGAUAUCCACACACAUAUAUAAUUCUCUGUGGGAAGUGGUAUAAUUUUUCUGGAUUGUUAUAGUUUUUCCAAUGCUGAAAUGAGAAAUUGGUUUAGCUCUUAGUUCUAUUGUUGCAAUACUUAGUACUAUCAGAGAGCCAAUGGUAUAGUU
rnacentral:lncRNA from 1 species